GUUUGGGUGCAGACGUCGUUGCUUGGGCGCUUCUCCGCUGCGUGUAGGUGAAGGGGGCUUCCUGACCGAGACAUGGAUUUAGGUGCUAUUACAAAAUACUCAGCAUUACAUGCCAAGCCCAAUGGACUGAUCCUGCAAUACGGGACUGCUGGAUUUCGAACGAAGGCAGAACAUCUUGAUCAUGUCAUGUUUCGCAUGGGAUUAUUAGCUGUCCUGAGGUCAAAACAGACAAAAUCCACUAUAGGAGUCAUGGUAACAGCGUCCCACAAUCCUGAGGUAAUGGGUUUAGUGCCCUGAUAAAGCAGACCAUUAUUUACAAGACCAAGCCUUAGUGUCUGAGCAGUUUGACCUAAAGUACAAAUUCUAAUUCUAGGAAUGUGCCUUCUCAUUUAUACGUGCUUUGGAUGUGAAACAACUUUUUUUUUUAAGAGCAUGAUCAUUAAGCUCAUGAUUCCUAAGGGUGUGGAAAGAAUGAAAAGAUACUGUCAUUUUUUGGAGUGUCCAUAUUAGAGAAAUAACAAUGUCCUUCCAAAUUUAUUGAUUUAAGACAUUUUCAGUAAUUGAAAAUUGUUUC
rnacentral:sRNA from 1 species